UACGUAGGGGGCGAGCGUUGUCCGAAUUUACUGGGCGUAAAGCGCGCGUAGGCGGGUUAUUAAGUUGGGGGUGAAAUCCCAGGGCUCAACCCUGGAACUGCCCUCAAAACUGGCAACCUUGAGGUAUGGAGAGGGAAGUGGAAUUCCUGGUGUAGCGGUGAAAUGCGUAGAUAUCAGGAGGAACACCCGUGGCGAAGGCGGCUUCCUGGCCAUAUCCUGACGCUGAGGUGCGAAAGCCAGGGGAG
rnacentral:rRNA from 1 species